AUGGAUGUAUCACUGUUUUUCAACUUAGCGUCAUCAAGCUUGCUAGCAUUAGGAGUAUUAUUAACAUCAGUUGAUAUUUCUUUAGAUAUACCAUUUGUACCUGUUGCAUUAGUUUUACCUAUUGCAUCAUCAGUACCUUUUACACUUUUUCUAGCUGGUUUAUUACUAUUCGGAGGCGUACUAAGAUAUUUCCUAACUAUUUCAUUAUUGCUUCCGUUGAUGUUUUUUGCAAUGAACUUUUUAUCACUGUCUCUUGGAUCUACCGUUACAGGUUGGCCUUUAUAUUUCUUUUUUCUUUAUUUUUUUUUUCCUUUAUUUUUGUUUUUAAAGGAUUGGGUUUUAUAUCAACAUUUUCAUUAUUUUUGUUUCCUAUUAUAUUUUUUAUUAUAUUGUUUACUAAAUCAUCAUUUAUGAAAGUAUUUCUAUUAUUACUUAAAUUUCCUUUAUUCUGAUUUAGUUUGUUUAAUAUAGUUUCGCUUAUUGAAGGGGGGUUUUUCAUGUUUGUUAUAUUUUGUUCAUCAUUUUUUUGUAUAAAAUUUUCCCCUUUUAUAUUUUCCUGUAUAUUAUUGUCAAAAUUAUUUUCAACGAGACCAUUUUUUGAAUUUCUAUUAUAAAAUGUAUUAUUGUUUAAAUUUGUUUCGAUAUUGAUUAAAUGACUUUUAACAUAUGGUUUCAUAUUAAAGUCUACAGUAUUAUGCCCUUCUAUUUUAUUCUGUAAAAUGUCACCAUCUCCUUUCUCCUUUAAAAUAAUGUUAUUAAUUGUAUUUUCUGAUAUUGUAUUAUUGUUUAUAUCAAUCGAGUUGACGUUUUCUUUUUUUUUCUUUAAUAUGGCUCCGAUCAUUUUCUUCAACUGUAUUUUUUCCUACUUUGUCAUUUGUUCCGUUUUUCCAUUUUUCCCCUUUUUUUUCCUUUUUUUUGUGUUUUAUUAGUUUUUCGAAUUCAUUCGAUUUAUUAUAAAUAUCAAAAAUAGGAGUAUAAGAGUUGUUUUUUAUUUCAUCAGUUUCUUUUAUAUUAUCGUUUAUAUCGUUUAUAUCGUUUAUAUCACUUGAUAACUUCCUACAUUUUCUUUUUAAAAACAUAAUACUAUA
rnacentral:lncRNA from 1 species